GAUGAACGCUGGCGGCGUGCUUAACACAUGCAAGUCGAACGUGAGAGGUAGCAAUAUCUUGAAAGUGGCGAACGGGUGAGUAACACGUAGGUAACCUGCCUCGGAGUGGGGGAUAACAGUUAGAAAUGACUGCUAAUACCGCAUGAAUCCAUGGAUUGGGGACAAUCGGUGGAGAAAACUCUGGUGCUUCGAGAGGGGCCUGCGGCCGAUUAGCUAGUUGGUGGGGUAAAGGCCUACCAAGGCGACGAUCGGUAGCUGGUCUGAGAGGACGAUCAGCCACACGGGAACUGAGACACGGUCCCGACUCCGACGGGGGGCAGCAGUGAGGAAUAGUGGGCAAUGGGCGGAAGCCUGACCCAGCAACGCCGCGUGGAGGAAUGAAGGCCUUCGGGUUGUAAACUCCUUUUGCAGGGGAAGAGGAAGGACGGUACCCUGCGAAUAAGUCACGGCUAACUACGUGCCAGCCGCCGCCGUAAUAC
rnacentral:rRNA from 1 species